rnacentral:lncRNA from 1 species
CCAGAUCCUGGAGGAAUUUUAAAUCAAUUCAUGACAUGCAUCAACAACAAAGUAAACAUGUCAAAGAAGUAUGGUGUGUUCUAUAUUGUAAUCACUAAUCUUUUCUCUUGUGAUGAAGGUCUAUAUUUGAUGACAAAUCUUUUUGAAGAAGGGGGGAUGAUGUGAUCUUAAACAGCCCAGAAUUAGUUCUAAAGAUACAAAUUUGCAU